UUGACAGAAGAUAGAGAGCACAGAUGGAUGAUUUGCAAUCAAAUAUGCAUCUCACUCCUUUGUGCUCUCUAUGCUUCUGUCAU
rnacentral:miRNA from 1 species